UUGAGCGUUUGCAGCCAAAUCACGAAAAUGAACCAAAACUAUGCGUGAGGGAAGUGUGAUCGAACCGCCGCCUUCUUCCUCAACAAUCGACCACCACCCGCCAUCUAGACCACCAGACCUCACUACCAUUCAAACCCUCUCGCCUCCCUCUUCAACCUCUUGUCAUCACCUAGCCACGGAGUUGCCGAAAACAACCCCAAUCACCCUCCCCCCCAAAACCGCGCUAACAGUCACCGUUUUCGCCAUAUUUCGACCGUCUUAAGCCACCGUUUCGAUCGCGGACCUUCACCACUCCACUCAACCAAGCGCAUCCAGUACCACCAUGGGUCACCUACAAUUUUGUCCAAAAUCGAAUGUGCUUGUGAAAGCAAUCCGUGGGUUGUGAAAUAGAUUCAGUCCCAACAAAAUUGAUGAAAUUUUAUUGAUGGGUAAAGAUUUUGAGAAGGUUUGUGAGAUGUGUUAUGUAACUCUCAAUAUGUUGAAGCUUGAGGAUGAUUCAGCUGCAACGUUGGCAGGGAGCAAGCCAUGUGGACUUACAAGUACAGCUCAGCUGGAGUGUUGGCAAGAGGCAAAACCAUGUGAAUUUUGUAACGAAGCAACAGAUGCAUCGUCUAGAAGGAAAUAGUUAGAAUUUUGCUUGUUGAGCAAGUUGGUUUAUUCUGCAUUUAUCUGUGUAAAUUAGUUAGGGAGAGAUUCUUUUUAUGCACUUGCUAUUUAUAUUUCCACUGCUUUGUAUUCAUUUCUUUAUUGAAUCAAAUUGUUGGAAAUUAUCUAAGUCUAUGCAUUGUUAGAAUGUGCUGUGAUUUGGAUAAAUGUAGUUUGAUUUGGAAUGCCAUGCUUUUGAACUUUCUUGUUCUUUCUCA